rnacentral:lncRNA from 1 species
UGUGGCUGUGCCAUGCCCCAGUGCAGCUCCCUGCAGAUGGCUGUGCUGGAGGCUGCUGUGAAACACACACAGCUCUGCUUUGCACACUCCUUCCUCUAAAUCAGCUCCACGGCUGUGAAAGCAGUUGUUCAGAAGGCAAAGGGCACCCUGGUUUUGCUCUCUGACUGAGAGAGGCUUCACUGCAGGAGGUUUCAAGUUUCAUCCAUUUCAUGUCUUGGUUGAUGCCCAUAUAUGAAAUUAUUAGGAAUAUGAGCAAAUGCUAUCCACAUCCAGCUGAGCUGGAAAUUCAUCUGAUCCAUAUAGAUUUAGAUGUUUCAGAGCACUACCUCGUGGCAGAAUUUAGGACUGAAGAGAGAGGACUCAUUUCAUGA